CUCACUCUUGUAAAACGCGUCAAGAAUUUGCAGAAAAAGGGCGAAUCCGGACACGAUUCUUCCUUUUUCUGCUUCUCAAUUUGACUCUGUUUUGAGUUCUCACAUCCCCAUUCUCAGAUUCAAUCGCGCCGGUGCCAUUGUCGGAGAGAGAGAUGUUUUGAUUUACGGGAAUGGCAUGGCAAUCUCUCUCCCAUUCCUAAAAUCUUCCGCUCUCUCUCUCGCCAUUCUCUCUGUAUUCAUCUUCUUCAUCGUAUUCACUCCAAAUCGGUCGCCGGAAUCGCCUCCCAGAAGGUCUCUCAUUGCCGCCGGCGAUUUCAACUCCACUGCCUCGCCGACCCCGUCUUGUUCCUCCGUCGAAUUCCGCUCCGAUGGCCUCGUUAACUACUUGUAUUUCCAUUUCUGCUUCUUUAACCAAAACCCAUCUCUCUCCGUCCCUUUUCUCACUCUCCUCCUCCUCCUGCACUUCUACAUCCUCAUCAAAACCGCUCAGGAUCAUUUCUCCAUUGUCACUUCCAAGCUCGCCUUCCACCUCAACUUGUCUCCGAGUAUGGCCGCCGUGACGCUCUUGGCGUUGGGCAAUGGCGCUCCCGAUGUAUUCGCAUCUGUUGCCGCGGUUCGUAGUGGACAGUAUCGAACUGGGUUCGGUGCAAUUCUCUCCGCGGGCACUUUUGUUUCGGCUUUUGUGGUUGGAUUUGUGGCCAUCUAUGCUGCUCCCUUCUCGGUGAAUCCGGCUCAGUUUGUGAGGGAUGUGCUGUUUUAUUUGACUGCAGCAUUGUUCUUGUUCUAUGUGUAUCUCAGUGCGGAGAUUUUUCUCUGGCAAGCUGUUGGGUUUGUUGGAUUCUAUCUGUUCUUUGUUGGGCUUGUGUUUUGGAUGGAUUUGGGAAUGGGAAGUGGGAAAGCUAAGAGGGGGGCUGAUAUGGGAGUGGCUAGAGAAGCUGCGGUCUAUAACGGUGAGGUGCCUCUAGACUGUGUGAUUGGAGAAGGCUACAAAAAUUUGGAUGAAGAAAAGACAAAUUUUGGCUUUUGGGAAGCUCUUGGAAUGAUCCCAAAAGUAUGGGAGGCUCCUGUCUCGUUUCUUCUGAAGCUCACCAUUCCGCAACCCGCACCUUCCAAAUGGAGCAGAUUCUUUACAUCAGCAAAUAUUUCUCUCUGUCCCGUCGCCCUUCUAUAUUCCUGUAACUCAUUCAUGCCUUUUAAUUAUCCCAUUGCUUUCCUCUUACCGCAUACACAUUUACCUCUUUGGUUCGUGGUACUCUUAGCAAGCUCCUCCCUUGCAAUUGUUCACUUUGUCACCGAAACCGAGCCCCCCAAAACUGAGCAAGUCCCCGUCGUGCUUGCAGCAUUUGUUAUGAGUGUAUUUUGGAUUUCAGCCGUUGCUGGAGAACUUCUCAACUGUCUUGCAGCUCUCGGAGUGCUUCUCAAACUCCCGACAGCUCUACUCGGGCUUACCGUGCUUGCCUGGGGGAAUUCGGUUGGGGAUCUUGUGGCUGAUGUUGCUCUUGCAAAAGCAGGCCAGCCUUUGCUGGCUAUGGCUGGAUGCUUUGCCGGACCUAUGUUUAACAUGCUCGUUGGGCUCGGAACGGCUUUGGUUAUACAAACAGCUAACAGUUAUCCAGAGGCCUAUCAGCUUCAUUUCCAUAUCGGAAUCGUGAUUGCAUUUGUGUUCCUACUUUUCAGCUUGAUGGGUUCCCUACUUGUAAUUAUUUGGUACAGAUUUCGGGUGCCUCGGUUUUGGGGAUUCUGCCUUGUUGUGCUCUAUAUUAUUUUCACGGCUACCAGCUUAGUGAUGGCCAAGUUUUCUGUAUGAUCAAACCCCCUUCUAGACUGAAGUAUAAGACCAAGAAACUCCAUAUAUGCCAAUGAAGCAGCAUUCGGUCAAGGAAAGGCAGCGGCCGAGAAUAGUUGGCGUUUUAACUGGGCAGUCAAGGCGUGAAGCGCAUCAUUUGCUACCUUUGCUACCAUUGCUCAACAACCUCAAGCCACUUUUAGUAAGCAAAUAUUGGCAGGGUUGUUGGCUUUGAAUCUGCCAUGAGAAUGGAGGGAAGCCCUUUAAAUAAGCUAAGAUUUUGAGUUGUUGAAGGAGAAGCAGUAGGGGAGGAGCUUCAUUACAGAGUUGGAUGAAAAUUGAAUUAUGAUGUGAAACCAGCUGAUGUAGAUGGUUCACAUCUCUCUGUUCAGAUGCCUGUAAAUGGGGCUACUUGUUUUAACGGCAUUCGUUCUUUCGAUAUAAAUGAAAUUAAGAAUCUGUUUGGUAA